UUGCAGGCUGCAACUCGCCUGCAUGAAGUCGGAAUUGCUAGUAAUCGCGGAUCAGAAUGUCGCGGUGAAUACGUUCCCGGGUCUUGUACACACCGCCCGUCACACCAUGGGAGUCAGCAACGCCCGAAGUCAGUGACCUAACCGAAAGGGAGGAGCUGCCGAAGGCGGGGCCGGUAACUGGGGUGAAGUCGUAACAAGGUAUC
rnacentral:rRNA from 1 species